rnacentral:rRNA from 1 species
AGUGAACGCUGGCGGUAGGCCUAACACAUGCAAGUCGAACGGCAGCACAGUAAGGGCUUGCUCUUACGGGUGGCGAGUGGCGGACGGGUGAGGAAUACAUCGGAAUCUACUUUUUCGUGGGGGAUAACGUAGGGAAACUUACGCUAAUACCGCAUACGACCUACGGGUGGAAGCAGGGGAUCUUCGGACCUUGCGCGAUUGAAUGAGCCGAUGUCGGAUUAGCUAGUUGGCGGGGUAAAGGCCCACCAAGGCGACGAUCCGUAGCUGGUCUGAGAGGAUGAUCAGCCACACUGGAACUGAGACACGGUCCAGACUCCUACGGGAGGCAGCAGUGGGGAAUAUUGGACAAUGGGCGCAAGCCUGAUCCAGCCAUACCGCGUGGGUGAAGAAGGCCUUCGGGUUGUAAAGCCCUUUUGUUGGGAAAGAAAAGCAGCAGGUUAAUACCCCGCUGUUCUGACGGUACCCAAAGAAUAAGCACCGGCUAACUUCGUG